AAAUUCUCGAGGUGAGGAGGGUUGGAAUGAUGCACCGGAUUCAUCUGAAGCACCAACAAGACUCUUGGUUCAUCUGGAGAAGCGAAGCCCUGGGCAGCUGGCACCCUUCCACAGGGAGCUACAAACUCCACUUUGCCACAUUGCGAGUCUCCCCAGGCAGCAGAUGUCUCGUAGCUGCCGCGCAGUUCUGCUGAACCACUACGCAGAAAACUUAUACAACGAACUGUGAGAUGGUUCACCCUCCUGCUUGGCUCCAGCAGCACCAACUUCAACACGCCUCCACCACAACUUUAAACGUUGCAUGGAUGAUAAAUUACACACAGAUAUGGGAUUUCUCCAAAUGACAGACAAGUAUAAAAAUGAACUUGGAGAGUCAAUCAAUCAAGAAGUCCUUCCUGAGAACACUGUGUGUGCACGCCGUCCUACGACACUUCAUAAUGGAGAGUCAUAGGCCCUGAUGAAUAAGAACAAUCGCUGAUGCAAGUCAGGACAGCAUCAAGCUGGCAUUCUGGUUGCUCUAUGCCUGUGUCUCCUUGGUAAAUAUUUUGAAUAUCAACUUCGGUUUCUGAUUGAAGGCAAUUAGUGAUUGUGCUGUGAAGACACAAUGUGAUUAUCAUCUUAAAAGAAUUAGACAAUGGAGGAAUAUGAAAAACAGGGUAGUUUAUACAAUGCCUACAGGAAGUUUAUAGACAAUGGUCGUGUUCACUAGGCAAAGUUCAGGAGGUGAUGACGUGUGGAAUUUUCAUUUAGGGCACCGAUCUUCAAGGCGGUGUCUGGACCAAUCCUGUGUCUGGACACUGGGGACUGAUGCCCAUCACUGUCAUUGCCUUUUAUAAUUUCAUAGGCUUUGCUAACCAAAAGCUACCUCACUCUCCGCAGAUGCAUGCCAGGGUACUUUGUGUGGGGUGGUUGCUUCUUAAAAGGCCACAGCCAGGUCACACACUAUUUAAAACGCUACUUUAUUUAAGACAACUUUCAAGUGUUCCUUCUCCCUUUGCUAUCUAUGAUUGCCCCAUUUCAGUUUGCCAUAGAACAGCUGUUUCGAUAUCCAGCAUUUAUCCGUUCUCCACAUGCAUCCAGCCCAGAGGGAUUGUUAAGCAGAUCAUUGUUUUAAUUCUGGCUAGAUUCCAGGUCCCCAUUAUUAGUGAUCCUGUCUUAACAUUUACUGUUCAGUUUGGCUCACAGGUGAUGUUGAUUAAAUUGGAUAUGCCAUCUGGGGUGGCUUUUCGUCUGGUAGGCACAUUCAAGGCAGAGCAUACCUACUGCUUCAUUUGGGUCUGAAGCUUUACACCUCAUGUGAUGGCAUUCUGGACAUGGCUGUGUGCAACCUGGGCUUGAGUCCUGGCUUCUCCAGCUAGUAGUUUUUUUUGAAAUUGGGCAAUCCACUCCUCUAUUCGGGGCUUUAAUUUUCUAAUGAAUAAAACAGAAUAAUCACUAAUUC
ensembl:lncRNA